GAUGAACGCUGGCGGCGUGCCUAAUACAUGCAAGUCGAACGAAAAGACCAGGCUCUUGCUCCUCUGACGUUAGCGGAGGACGGGUGAGUCACACGUGGAUCACCUACCUAUCAUACUGAGAUCACUUCGGGAAACCGGCGCUUAUCCCGUAUAAUAUCUUGCACCACAUGGUUCAAUAGUGAAAGACGGCUUUGCUGUAACUUAUCGAUGCAUCCGCGCUGCAUUAGCUAGUUGGUACGGUAAAGGCUUUCCAAGGCGACGAUGCGUAGCCGACGGGUGAGGGGGGUCGCCCACACGGGAGCGGGAACGCGGUCCAGACUCCUGCGAGAGGGAGCAGUAGGGAAUCUGCCGCAGUGGGCGAAAGCAUUGCGGAGCAACGCGACGUGAGUUAUGAAGGUCUUCGGAUCGUAAAACUCUGUUAUGAGGGAUGAACAAAUGUGUAAGUAACUAUGCACGUCGUGACGGUACCUAAUCAGAAAGCCACGGCUAACUACGUG
rnacentral:rRNA from 1 species